AUUGAACGCUGGCGGCAUGCUUUACACAUGCAAGUCGAACGGCAGCGGGGAGGAGCUUGCUUCUCUGCCGGCGAGUGGCGAACGGGUGAGUAAUACAUCGGAACGUGUCGAGAAGAGGGGGAUAACCACCCGAAAGGGUGGCUAAUACCGCAUAAAUUCUGAGGAAGAAAGCUGGGGACCUAGGAAUAGGCCUAGCGCUUUUUGAGCGGCCGAUGUCGGAUUAGCUAGUUGGUGAGGUAAAGGCUCACCAAGGCGAAGAUCUGUAGCGGGUCUGAGAGGAUGAUCCGCCACACUGGGACUGAGACACGGCCCAGACUCCUACGGGAGGCAGCAGUGGGGAAUUUUGGACAAUGGGGGCAACCCUGAUCCAGCCAUGCCGCGUGUAUAAAGAAGGCCUUAGGGUUGUAAAGUACUUUUGUUAGGGAAGAAAAGUCAGCUGUGAAUAAUGGCUGAUACUGACGGUACCUAAAGAAUAAGCACCGGCUAACUACGUG
rnacentral:rRNA from 1 species